rnacentral:rRNA from 1 species
GACGAACGCUGGCGGCGUGCUUAACACAUGCAAGUCGAACGGAAAGGCCCUGCUUUUGUGGGGUGCUCGAGUGGCGAACGGGUGAGUAACACGUGAGUAACCUGCCCUUGACUUUGGGAUAACUUCAGGAAACUGGGGCUAAUACCGGAUAGGAGCUCCUGCUGCAUGGUGGGGGUUGGAAAGUUUCGGCGGUUGGGGAUGGACUCGCGGCUUAUCAGCUUGUUGGUGGGGUAGUGGCUUACCAAGGCUUUGACGGGUAGCCGGCCUGAGAGGGUGACCGGCCACAUUGGGACUGCGAUACGGCCCAGACUCCUACGGGAGGCAGCGGUGGGGAAUAUGGCACAAUGGGCGGAAGCCUGAUGCAGCAACGCCGCGUGCGGGAUGACGGCCUUCGGGUUGUAAACCGCUUUCGCCUGUGACGAAGCGUGAGUGACGGUAAUGGGUAAAUAAGCACCGGCUAACUACGUG